UGGUUUACUAUUUGAAUUAUGUCUGGUUUUUGACGUAAGAAUCAUAAAUUUUUUCUGUCUUAAGUAAUAUUCUAAUUAUUUAAUCUAUUGUUUCAGUGCUUUGUUGAGGCUGAUGCAAUUGCUCUAAGACGUGUGCGGAAAGAGGAUAUAUGUCACGUUGCGAAGGCAACUGGUGCUACACUGGUAUGCCGUUUUCAACACUUCAAUGCAGUUUUUGCCUAUUUUUUAUGACAGAUGGAUGCAGUAGGCGAACCUGUUUGGCCAAAUACCUGUUGGUUUCUUUAGCCUUCCCUCUUUGCAAUAUGUGUUCCUUAGUCCCCUCAGUCCGGUUCCCCUCAUACUAAUUUGUGUGUUUGCUCAAAGAUUUUUUGUCCAAUCCCUUCAACUUUUUGUUUGGAUUUCAGGUCUCUUUUUCAGCCAAGAAGUCAUUCCCUUGUGCUAUGAAACAUGUGGUCUUAAAGAUCUGAAAGCCCUUGAGUCAAAAUCAUUGGAAUUGAGUGCUGAAGGUGAAGGAGGAAAGGAGGAGUAUUAGAAUGGUUGUCACUCCGCCACUCCUCCAAAAAUAUUGUGGCAUGCAGAAGAAAUCCAGAGGUCUUAGUAGAAGACGCCACCAAGAGAAAGAGAAAACGUUGAAUAGAUCUUAGAAGAACUGAACAACUAAUGUCCAGUCUGUGCUCAUGUAUGACUGUUCCUUUGGCAAGAUUUCCUUCUAAACCAAUCUUGCUUGCGGAGUAUACUCUCUAUAUUUAGUUUAAUUCUAGACUAGGUUUAUGUUUAUAUUUAGACUAAUUCUGAUAGUGGCUAGCUAUAAGAGUAGAUUAUUUUAUAUCACCUUUAGUAUAUGCUACAUUACAUGUUUUACAGGUUUUUCUUUUUUCAGUGAUAUUUGUUUUGAAUAAUAGUUGAUUGAUGAGUCCAAAUUUGAUGAUAUAUUUUGACUCAAAUUGGAUGAAUUCUAGCACAUCAACUCACACUUAAGCACUCAAAUAGCACUCAAAUGUGAAAACCUGCUCUUUUGCACUUAUUUUGACUAAUUUUAUUCCGUUUACCUUUCAUUCGA